GACGAACGCUGGCGGCGUGCCUAAUACAUGCAAGUCGAACGCUUCUUUCCUCCCGAGUGCUUGCACUCAAUUGGAAAGAGGAGUGGCGGACGGGUGAGUAACACGUGGGUAACCUACCCAUCAGAGGGGGAUAACACUUGGAAACAGGUGCUAAUACCGCAUAACAGUUUAUGCCGCAUGGCAUAAGAGUGAAAGGCGCUUUCGGGUGUCGCUGAUGGAUGGACCCGCGGUGCAUUAGCUAGUUGGUGAGGUAACGGCUCACCAAGGCCACGAUGCAUAGCCGACGUGAGAGGGUGAUCGGCCACACUGGGACUGAGACACGGCCCAGACUCCUACGGGAGGCAGCAGUAGGGAAUCUUCGGCAAUGGACGAAAGUCUGACCGAGCAACGCCGCGUGAGUGAAGAAGGUGUUCGGAUCGUAAAACUCUGUUGUUAGGGAAGAACAAGGACGUUAGUAACUGAACGUCGCCUGACGGUAUCUAACCAGAAAGCCACGGCUAACUACGUG
rnacentral:rRNA from 1 species